UACGUAGGGUGCAAGCGUUGUCCGGAAUUAUUGGGCGUAAAGAGCUCGUAGGCGGUCUGCCGCGUCUGCUGUGAAAACUCAGGGCUUAACCCUGAGCUUGCAGUGGGUACGGGCAGACUAGAGUGCGGUAGGGGAGACUGGAAUUCCUGGUGUAGCGGUGAAAUGCGCAGAUAUCAGGAGGAACACCGGUGGCGAAGGCGGGUCUCUGGGCCGUAACUGACGCUGAGGAGCGAAAGCAUGGGGAGCGAACAGG
rnacentral:rRNA from 1 species